rnacentral:lncRNA from 12 species
AACACAGAACACCGUUCUUCUUCUUUUCUUCCCUUGUCUCGUCUAGGAUAGUUGACUUCCGUAACGUUUCUUUUCAACAGCCUCUUUCAGCUUCCUGCCUCUGCUGUGUUUGCACCUCUGGAUGGGGCAGGAGUUGAACUGUGGAAUCUGGCAGAGGCCAGCUU